CACUGAAGUAUCUGUAUUCCUGCUUGGUAUGAUUCGGCCAGGGGCUUUGGGAAUAUCUGAGAAGAAAGAAAAAUGAGUUAUUGAUUGUUUGAAAUCAAGUCUGCAUUUCAAAAGCCAAAACAAUGAAAUAUUAGUCUGGUUACUGUGGAUUUCCUGGUUCCUGAUGAUCAGCUCCAGGCCUUGGCCCACUAUCCUCUAGAAAGUCUCUUCCUAUUUCUAGACUCCUUGUUGAAUGAAUCAUUGUAUUGCUGCUGCUGCUGCUAACACAAUACAUUGAUAGAGAUAACUUUGCCCAGUGGUCCUGAUUACAGUAUUAAACAAGAUAUAAAGCAAUAAGAUGUAUCCCUCUCCCUGAGAAAUGUAUGUGCUCUUGAAGAAAAAUAAUCUGUAUGUAAGUAAAGACAAAGUUUACACAAAGUAACAUUGAGUGAGACACUGCUAAUUACUAUAGAGAUCAGGAAAAGCUUCCUAUAGCAGGAAGCACCUGAAUUAUACUUUGAAGAAAGCUAAAGAUUCAAUGAGGUAGCUAGGUGGUACAGUGAAUAUAAUUUCAGGCCUGGAGUCGGGAAAACUCAUUUUCCCGAGUUCAAAUCUAGCCUCAGACACUUACUGGCAGUGUGAUCCUAGGCAAGUCACUUGACUCUGUUGGCCUCAGUUUACUCCUUUGUAAAAUGAGCUGGAGAAGGAAAUAGCAAACCCCUCCUAUUUUUUUGCCAAGGAAGCCCCAGAUGAAAUUACUAAGAGUCCGAAACAACUGAACAACAACAAGGGAUUCAAUAAGGCAGUAGAAGGGAGUUUUAUAGGCAAAAGCACAUGGGAAAAAGGGAUGGUGAAUAUGCAGAACAGUUAGUAGGUUAGUUUUACUAGAAUAGAGAAUGGGGAAGAGGAGUAAACAUGAAGUAAAUUUGGAAAAGUGGGUAGGAACCAGAUGGCAAAAGGCUUUAGAUGCUUUACUGAAGAGUUUUCAUUUACCCUAAAGGCAAUAAGGAGUCAUUUGAGGUUUUUUGUAAGGAGUAAUAUAGGCAGAUCCAGUUUUUAUAUCAAUUCAGGAACUGUAUGGAGGAUGCAUUAGAAACACAGACAAAACAAGUUGCUGCCACAGCCAACUUGAACUAGAAUACAGGCAAUGUGUAUAAAGCAAAGAGGGUUACAGGAUAGAGACAUUAUGGAAGUAACAUUACCAAAAUUUAGCAAUGUAAUAACUAGGAGGUUUGAAGGAGAGAGAAAGAAUCAAAGGGAACUCUGUCUGAAUUUGUGUGCCUGGAAGGAUGAUUGUCAGCAAAUGGGGAAAUUUGGAAUCAGUCAAUUAGACAACUAGCACUUAUUAAGUGCCUAUUAUCUCAAGGAACGUAGCCUAAUGGGAGAGAUAACAUGCAAACAACCAUGUACAAAUAAGAUAGAGAGGUGUAGGUAUGAUAUCAUAUUAUAUAUGAUAAAUGGAGUUAUAGUCUCAGAGGGAAGGCACUAAGAAUAAAGAGGAUUGGGCAAAGCUUUUUGAAGAAAGAGGGACUUUAGCUGAGGCUUGAAGGAAUCCAGAGUUAGUUUAGAGCAGUGAUAGUGGACCUAUGGCAUGGGUGCCAAAGAUGGCACACACACACAGUACUCUCUGUGGGCAUGCCCUCCCCCCUUCAUUAGUAGGAAGGCAGAGAGACUUGGGUGGAGCUGCUCUCCUCCCCCUCUCCACUGUGCUGGAUGACAUUUUUUCACAUCCCCAACUCUCUUCCCAGAAGUCAAUGGGAGCACACAGGAGGUAAGAUAGGUGGCUUACAGAAGAGCUAGAGGGGAGGGGAGCAGAGUGCUCAGGCCAUACCCCUCCCCCUCUCUACACCUGCUGAGACCAUGCUUCACUUCACCCACCCCUCUGCCCAGCAGCCCAAUGGGAAUGCUUUCUCCCUCCCCUGUGGGGUAAGGGGGGGACAAGGCAAACCCAGCACUAGGUGGGGGGGAGGGGCAUGGCACUUGGUCAGGAGGUGGGGUUGGAUGGGGCCCAGCACUCAGUCUCUAAAAGGUUUGAUAUCACUGGUUUAGAGGGAAAUAUGAGUUCCAUUUGGGAUAUGUUUAAUUUAAGAGGCAGUAGGGCAUUGCAAAAAGAUUAUUGACUGGAUCUGCAUUCAAAUUGGGCCUCUGAUGCUUACUACCUUUAUGGCCAUUAAUUUACUUACACUUCUUGAGCCUCCAUUUGUUCAUUUGUAAAAUAAAGGUAAAUAGAUUAGAUGGCCUCUGAGUUCCUUCCAAUUCUAAAUCUAUGAUCCCAUGUCUACAAAAAUAUAUUAAUCUGUUGCAAUAAACCUUUGGAAAUCAUGACCUUUACCUGCAGGUUCCUCUUCAGUGACGAUGAUCUGUCCAGUCCAGGGCGCAGAAGGCUGACCUUAGAGAAGCAAAAACUGAAAAUUAGAAACUGUUCCAAAAUGAAAAUUGGCCACUAUUACACAAUCAACCAACUAUUUUGAACUAUUAGCUACAGAAGAUCCAGCAUGUACUGAGCCAGAGGUGACUGAAAUUGCCUUGGAACUCCAUGGAGCCAUGAAACUCUCAAGUCUGUCCAAUCCAGGAGAUUUGUGAUGACUUUGGGUCAGGAUCAAGGCUGAGGGCAAUCUUACAAGGUUCUUGUGGAGCCACAUCUGAAGCUUGUCAACUUAUGCAAACUUGUUGAUCUGAGAAAAAGACUAUAACUCUCCAGAGAUUGGCCACAUGCAAAAUUUCUUUUGACAUCUCCCGAUUUCCUGGGUUUAUCUUAAUUGAAAAUACCAGAACUUUGUUUAUUCUUUUUUUAUCUGCCAUGCCAAGUUGCUUUUUUGAAACUGCCUAACCAGAAUAAAUGAACUUUAGGGGAAGGAACCUCAAAAGACUGAAAUGAAUUCUGAUUUCAAACUUUGCAUUGGGUUAAUACAUAAGUUGGGUCACAUUUUACCUGAAAUGAGAGAACUAUUCCUUGCCUUGGAACUGGUAAGACCUUAGAGGUCAUCUCAUUCACAUUUGUGUCCUAUUUGAGGAAACUGAAUAAAGCCUCCCUAGUAAGAUGAACUGUUUUAUUGGAUGGUACCAUUGCAUAUGAGCAGCUAGGUGGUACAGUGGAUAGAGUGCUGGACCUAGAGGCAGGAAGAUUCAUCAACCUUAGUUCAAAUCUAGCUUCAGACACUUACUUGCCUGAGUGACCCUGAGCAAGUCAUUUAAAUGAGUUUGCCUCAGUUUUCUCAUCUAUUAAAUGGGCAGGAGAAGGAAAUGGCAAACUACUUCAAUAUCUUUGCCCGACCCAAAAAAACAAAACAAAACAAAACAAACUCAAAGAGGGGAGGUCACAAAGAGUCAGAUUAGACUGAAACUACUAGACAGCAACAACACGACCAUUGCAUAUAUUCACAUAUGGCCACUUUCCCAUGGUCAUGAUCUGCCUGAAGGGGGAAAAGAGAAACUCUUUCACCUAGCAUAAGCAUUUAAGACUUGCC